GACGAACGCUGGCGGCGUGCUUAACACAUGCAAGUCGAACGGAAAGGCCCUGCUUUUGUGGGGUGCUCGAGUGGCGAACGGGUGAGUAACACGUGAGUAACCUGCCCUUGACUUUGGGAUAACUUCAGGAAACUGGGGCUAAUACCGGAUAGGAGCUCCUGCUGCAUGGUGGGGGUUGGAAAGUUUCGGCGGUUGGGGAUGGACUCGCGGCUUAUCAGCUUGUUGGUGGGGUAGUGGCUUACCAAGGCUUUGACGGGUAGCCGGCCUGAGAGGGUGACCGGGCACAUUGGGACUGGGAUACGGGCCAGACUCCUACGGGAGGCAGCAGUGGGGAAUAUUGCACAAUGGGCGGAAGCCUGAUGCAGCAACGCCGCGUGCGGGAUGACGGCCUUCGGGUUGUAAACCGCUUUCGCCUGUGACGAAGCGUGAGUGACGGUAAUGGGUAAAGAAGCACCGGCUAACUACGUG
rnacentral:rRNA from 1 species